CAAACUAUAGCAUAUAAAAUGCUUUUUAUUUACAUUAAAAAAAAAAAUACCCAUAUUUUAGUUUGA
rnacentral:tRNA from 1 species